rnacentral:rRNA from 1 species
UACGGAGGGUGCGAGCGUUGUCCGGAUUUAUUGGGUUUAAAGGGUGCGUAGGCGGCCUGAUAAGUCUGGGGUGAAAGCCCGCUGCUCAACAGCGGAACUGCCCUGGAUACUGUCAGGCUUGAGUACAGACGAGGUUGGCGGAAUGGACCGAGUAGCGGUGAAAUGCAUAGAUACGGUCCAGAACCCCGAUUGCGAAGGCAGCUGACUAGGCUGUUACUGACGCUGAGGCACGACAGCGUGGGGAGCGAACAGG